GCAGUGGGGAAUAUUGCACAAUGGGCGCAAGCGUGAUGCAGCCCAAGACCGGCGUGUAUGAAGAAGGCGUUACGGGUUGUAAGAGUGCUUUACAGGUCGGGGAGGAACGUACUAUAUUAUUAAUAAGCGCAUGACGGACACGUCGAGUAAUAUCGGGCGCCACAGACUCCAGCCCGCGUCCGCAGUGGGGAAUAUUGCACAAUGGGCGCAAGCGUGAUGCAGCCCAAGACCGGCGUGUAUGAAGAAGGCGUUACGGGUUGUAAGAGUGCUUUACAGGUCGGGGAGGAACGUACUAUAUUAUUAAUAAGCGCAUGACGGACACGUCGAGUAAUAUCGGGCGCCACAGACUCCAGCCCGCGUCCGCAGUGGGGAAUAUUGCACAAUGGGCGCAAGCGUGAUGCAGCCCAAGACCGGCGUGUAUGAAGAAGGCGUUACGGGUUGUAAGAGUGCUUUACAGGUCGGGGAGGAACGUACUAUAUUAUUAAUAAGCGCAUGACGGACACGUCGAGUAAUAUCGGGCGCCACAGACUCCAGCCCGCGUCC
rnacentral:rRNA from 1 species